AGUGAACGCUGGCGGCGUGCUUAACACAUGCAAGUCGAACGAGAACGGAAUAUAGCUUGCUAUAUUUGUCAGCUAAGUGGCGCACGGGUGAGUAAUGUAUAGAUAACCUGCCCUUAAGAAAGGAAUAACAGUUGGAAACGACUGCUAAUGCCCUAUAUGCCUUUAAUACAUAAGUAUGCAAGGGAAACGCUUUAGUGCUUAAGGAUGGGUCUGUAUGGUAUCAGCUUGUUGGCGAGGUAAUGGCUCACCAAGGCUAUGACGCCUAACUGGUUUGAGAGGAUGAUCAGUCACACUGGAACUGAGACACGGUCCAGACUCCUACGGGAGGCAGCAGUGGGGAAUAUUGCACAAUGGACGAAAGUCUGAUGCAGCAACGCCGCGUGGAGGAUGACACAUUUCGGUGCGUAAACUCCUUUUAUAUAGGAAGAUAAUGACGGUACUAUAUGAAUAAGCACCGGCUAAGCUCGUGCCAGCCGCCGCGGUAAGAC
rnacentral:rRNA from 1 species